ensembl:misc_RNA
CAGGACAGGUACAGCACAGGCAGUGAGAAUGCAAGCUUUUCCCACAGCACCUCAUACAUGUGCCUCAACCUUGACAUAAAGGGACCCCUCUAGA